rnacentral:rRNA from 1 species
AUUGAACGCUGGCGGCAGGCCUAACACAUGCAAGUCGAACGGUAACAGGAAGAAGCUUGCUUCUUUGCUGACGAGUGGCGGACGGGUGAGUAAUGUCUGGGAAACUGCCUGAUGGAGGGGGAUAACUACUGGAAACGGUAGCUAAUACCGCAUAACGUCGCAAGACCAAAGAGGGGGACCUUCGGGCCUCUUGCCAUCGGAUGUGCCCAGAUGGGAUUAGCUAGUAGGUGGGGUAACGGCUCACCUAGGCGACGAUCCCUAGCUGGUCUGAGGGGAAGACCAGCUACACUGGAACUGAGACACGGUCCAGACACCUACGGGAGGCAGCAGUGGGGACUAUUGCGCGAUGGGGGCAAGCCUGAUGCAGCCAUGCCGCGUGUAUGAAGAAGGCCUUCGGGUUGUAAAGUACUUUCAGCGGGGAGGAAGGGAGUAAAGUUAAUACCUUUGCUCAUUGACGUUACCCGCAGAAGAAGCACCGGCUAACUCCGUG